rnacentral:ncRNA from 1 species
GAAUAUUGAGGGCAAAACCAUUGAAAGGUGGUGACGCAAAGCCUUGGGUCUAACGUUCUAAUUUAUGAACCAUGAUUGCCAGGUUGCAAAG